UACGUAGGGGGCUAGCGUUGUCCGGAAUCAUUGGGCGUAAAGCGCGUGUAGGCGGUCCGGUAAGUCCGCUGUGAAAGUCGGGGGCUCAACCCUCGAAUGCCGGUGGAUACUGUCGAGCUCGAGUCCGGAAGAGGCGAGUGGAAUUCCUGGUGUAGCGGUGAAAUGCGCAGAUAUCAGGAGGAACACCAAUGGCGAAGGCAGCUCGCUGGGACGUGACUGACGCUGAGACGCGAAAGCGUGGGGAGCAAACAGG
rnacentral:rRNA from 1 species